rnacentral:rRNA from 1 species
UACGAAGGGGGCUAGCGUUGUUCGGAAUUACUGGGCGUAAAGCGCACGUAGGCGGAAUGUUAAGUCAGGGGUGAAAUCCCGGGGCUCAACCCCGGAACUGCCUUUGAUACUGGCAUUCUCGAGUCCGGAAGAGGUGAGUGGAAUUCCGAGUGUAGAGGUGAAAUUCGUAGAUAUUCGGAGGGACACCAGUGGCGAAGGCGGCUCACUGGUCCGGUACUGACGCUGAGGUGCGAAAGCGUGGGGAGCAAACAGG